rnacentral:rRNA from 1 species
UACGUAGGCAGCGAGCGUUGUUCGGAGUUACUGGGCGUAAAGCGUGUGCAGGCGGGGAAACAAGUGGUGUAUGAAAUUUCCCGGCUUAACCGGGAAGGGUUAUGCCAGACUGUCUUUCUGGAGUGCGAGAGAGGGGCGUGGAAUUCCGGGUGUAGUGGUGAAAUGCGUAGAGAUCCGGAGGAACCCCAGAGGCGAAGGCGGCGCCCUGGCUCGCAACUGACGCUCAGACACGACAGCAUGGGGAGCGAACGGG